CGAUGGGGUCGUGCUUGGGGUCUGGUGGCCGUGGCCGUGAUCCAGGGGUUCCCCUCGUGAUCCGUGGGUGGGCCCCGUCUCCGGGCG
rnacentral:sRNA from 1 species